rnacentral:rRNA from 1 species
GCCUAAUACAUGCAAGUCGAGCGAACGGACGAGAAGCUUGCUUCUCUGAUGUUAGCGGCGGACGGGUGAGUAACACGUGGAUAACCUACCUAUAAGACUGGGAUAACUUCGGGAAACCGGAGCUAAUACCGGAUAAUAUUUUGAACCGCAUGGUUCAAAAGUGAAAGACGGUCUUGCUGUCACUUAUAGAUGGAUCCGCGCUGCAUUAGCUAGUUGGUAAGGUAACGGCUUACCAAGGCAACGAUGCAUAGCCGACCUGAGAGGGUGAUCGGCCACACUGGAACUGAGACACGGUCCAGACUCCUACGGGAGGCAGCAGUAGGGAAUCUUCCGCAAUGGGCGAAAGCCUGACGGAGCAACGCCGCGUGAGUGAUGAAGGUCUUCGGAUCGUAAAACUCUGUUAUUAGGGAAGAACAUAUGUGUAAGCAACUGUGCACAUCUUGACGGUACCUAAUCAGAAAGCCACGGCUAACUACGUGCCAGCAGCCGCGGUAAUACGUAGGUGGCAAGCGUUAUCCGGAAUUAUUGGGCGUAAAGCGCGCGUAGGCGGUUUUUUAAGUCUGAUGUGAAAGCCCACGGCUCAACCGUGGAGGGUCAUUGGAAACUGGAAAACUUGAGUGCAGAAGAGGAAAGUGGAAUUCCAUGUGUAGCGGUGAAAUGCGCAGAGAUAUGGAGGAACACCAGUGGCGAAGGCGACUUUCUGGUCUGUAACUGACGCUGAUGUG